AUUGAACGCUGGCGGCAGGCCUAACACAUGCAAGUCGAACGAGCGGCGGACGGGUGAGUAAUGUAUGGGCAACUGCCUGAUGGAGGGGGAUAACUACUGGAAACGGUGGCUAAUACCGCAUACUAUCAGAUGUGCCCACAGGGGAUUAGCUGGUGGGUGGGGUAACGGCUCACCAAGGCGACGAUCCCUAGCUGGUCUGAGAGGAUGACCAGCCACACUGGGACGGAGACACGGCCCAGACUCCGACGGGAGGCAGCAGUAGGGAAUCUUGCGCAAUGGACGCAAGCCUGACCCAGCAAUGCCGCGGGUGUGAAGAAGGCUUUCGGAUUGUAAAAUUCUGUUGUCAGGGAAGCGGUACCCACCCAGGAAGCAACGGCUAACUACGUGCCAGCAGCCGCGGUAAUAC
rnacentral:rRNA from 1 species